GAAAUCGAGGAAAAGGAGAACUCAGAUUCAGGAAAAGCACAAGAAAGCGCGAAGGGGAAAUCUCUAAGCUCAUCCAAAGGACAGGGAAGUGAGGUGAAGAGUGGAAAAAAGCGGCGGAGAGUUUAAAUUUACCAGUCUAUCAUAACUGCUACUUAUUGCAGCAAAGCUGUGCCAUGUCUGGGCAUAUCAUUAUGAAUCCUAGUGCCUUUAGUUGCAGCUUUGAUGUCUGAGCGCCACAUUCACACAGUAAGGCAUUGUUUGUGUAUUUGGUGUCAUCUUUGACAUAAUUCCUAGGUUGUGGCAUGGGCUAUGUCAAAAAGUUUUAGUCUAAUUUAUAGUGGUUGUAGGGUUAGUUUUCCUUCUACUAUUGUUUCUAGAUGGAAUUUAAUGUUGUUUGGGAGUGACAAUAGAAUACAUUGGGUUAGCUUUUUGACAUAGCCCAUGCCACAACCUA
rnacentral:misc_RNA from 1 species